rnacentral:rRNA from 1 species
UGAGGAAUAUUGGACAAUGGGCGCAAGCCUGAUCCAGCCAUGCCGCGUGCGGGAAGAAGGCCUUCGGAUUGUAAAGCACUUUAAGUUGGGAGGAAGGGCAGUUACCUAAUACGUGAGUAUUUUGACGUUACCGACAGAAUAAGCACCGGCUAACUCUGUGCCAGCAGCCGCGGUAAUACAGAGGGUGCAAGCGUUAAUCGGAAUUACUGGGCGUAAAGCGCGCGUAGGUGGUUUGUUAAGUUGGAUGUGAAAGCCCCGGGCUCAACCUGGGAACUGCAUCCAAAACUGGCAAGCUAGAGUAUGGUAGAGGGUGGUGGAAUUUCCUGUGUAGCGGUGAAAUGCGUAGAUAUAGGAAGGAACACCAGUGGCGAAGGCGACCACCUGGACUGAUACUGACACUGAGGUGCGAAAGCGUGGGGAGCAAACA